AGUGAACGCUGGCGGUAGGCCUAACACAUGCAAGUCGAACGGCAGCACAGGAGAGCUUGCUCUCUGGGUGGCGAGUGGCGGACGUGGGAGGAAUACAUCGGAAUCUACUUUUUCGUGGGGGAUAACGUAGGGAAACUUACGCUAAUACCGCAUACGAUCUACGGGUGAAAGCAGGGGAUCUUCGGACCUGUCGCGAUUGAAUGAGCCGAUGUCGGAUUAGCGAGUUGGCGGGGUAAAGGCCCACCAAGGCCACGAGCCGUAGCUGGUCUGAGAGGAUGAUCAGCAACACGGGAACUGAGACACGGUCCAGACUCCUACGGGAGGCAGCAGUGGGGAAUAUUGGACAAUGGGCGCAAGCCUGAUCCAGCCAUACCGCGUGGGUGAAGAAGGCCUUCGGGUUGUAAAGCCCUUUUGUUGGGAAAGAAAUCCAGCUGGUUAAUACCCGGUUGGGAUGACGGUACCCAAAGAAUAAGCACCGGCUAACUUCGUGCCAGCAGCCGCCGUAA
rnacentral:rRNA from 1 species